rnacentral:rRNA from 1 species
ACGUAGGAGACGAGCGUUAAUCGGAAUUACUGGGCGUAAAGCGUGCGCAGGCGGUUGUGCAAGACAGAUGUGAAAUCCCCGGGCUCAACCUGGGAACUGCAUUUGUGACUGCACGACUGGAGUGCGGCAGAGGGGGAUGGAAUUCCGCGUGUAGCAGUGAAAUGCGUAGAUAUGCGGAGGAACACCGAUGGCGGAGGCAAUCCCCUGGGUCGACACUGACGCUCAUGCACGAAAGCGUGGGGAGCAAACAG